AUGUUUCUACUUCACGAAUAUGAUAUUUUUUGGACAUUUCUAAUAAUAGCAAGCCUUAUUCCUAUUUUGGCAUUUUCUAUUUCAAGGCUUUUAGCACCGGUUAGUGAAGGACCAGAGAAGCUUUCUAAUUAUGAAUCAGGUAUAGAAUGCAUGGGAGGUGCUUGGGUACAAUUCUGAAUAUGAUAUUCUAUGUUUGUGACAACAAAGAAUCGUCGACACGAACAAGUCAAAUUUGAUGGAUUAUGUCUCCUAUAUGUCAACUCACCACACAUGCCACCUCAUCAAUUAUUAUUUUCCUCUUUCUUAAUUGCAUGCUUCACCCAACUAGCAUACUUAAUGCACAUGCAACAAUGCAUGCAUGGAAAAAUAGCUACCUCAAUAUACAAUCAUGCAUGGACCGAUAUUUUUACAUUGUAG
rnacentral:rRNA from 1 species